rnacentral:rRNA from 1 species
UACGUAGGGUGCAAGCGUUGUCCGGAAUUAUUGGGCGUAAAGAGCUCGUAGGCGGUCUGUCGCGUCGGCUGUGAAAACUCGGGGCUCAACCCCGAGCCUGCAGUCGAUACGGGCAGACUAGAGUCCGGCAGGGGAGACUGGAAUUCCUGGUGUAGCGGUGAAAUGCGUAGAUAUCAGGAGGAACACCGGUGGCGAAGGCGGGUCUCUGGGCCGGAACUGACGCUGAGGAGCGAAAGCGUGGGGAGCGAACAGG